AAGAAAAAUAGGACGUUCCCGUCCUUCUAAAAGAAAAAACCCUCCCCGCCCCGUAAAAAAAAAUAACUUUCCCCCCCUCCAAGAAAAAAAAAACCCUCCUCCCCUCUUAAUAAAAAAAAAAAACUCCCCCCCCCCCAAAAAAAAAAACAGUGCGUUCGUUUUUUAUAAAAAAAGAGAAGCGUGCCCCCCCCUUAAAAAAAAAACGCGGGGGGCUUUUGUUUUAUAGGAGAGAAAAAAUCCCCCCCGGAAAAAAAAAACCCCACCCCCGGAAUAUAUAUAUGCGGAGGAAAAGAAACCACAGGGGGAUUGCUUCAGUAACGGCGAGUGAAGCGGCAAAAGCUAAAUUUGAAAUCUUCGGGAAUGUAUUUUGAAGGUGGGUUUGGUUCGGAAAAGUUACUUUAAGUCCAUUGGAAAAUGGCGCCAUGGAGGGUGAUAGCCCAAAAAAAGUAUCCCUUUUCCUUUUAUCCAUUCCCUCCAAAGAGUCGAGUUGUUUGGGAAUGCAGCUCUAAGUGGGUGGUAAAUUCCAUCUAAAGCUAAAUAUUGGCGAGAGACCGAUAGCGAACAAGUACAGUGAUGGAAAGAUGAAAAGCACUUUGAAAAGAGAGUGAAAAAAGUACGUGAAAUUGUUGAAAGGGAAGGGCUUGCAAGCAGACCCAACCUCGGUUGGGCCAGCAUCGGAGUGGGGGGAGACAAAAAAAGAAAAGGAGUGUAACUCUUUUAAUAUUUUAGCCUUUUUUUCUUAUUUCCCCCCCCUUCCGAGGGCGGCGAAUCUUCCGGGUGCUGGCUAAAGGGGGGGGGGUGUCCGGGGGGGAAAAAGGACCCCCCCGGCGGGAAAAAAAAACGGGGAAAAAAUCCCCCCCCAAAAAACAAACACAAGUUUUUUUUUUUGGGGGGGAGAAAUUUUUUUUUUUUUAAAAGGGGCACGUUUUUAUUUAAAGGGGGAACUUUUUUUUUAGAGAAGAGGGGGGAUUUGUUAGAGGAGAGGGGAACCUCCCGACACAAACACAAAGAUGCGGUAAAAUACAAAGGAACUUUAUUUUCAUUUCCAAGGGGAGCCAAGUGUUGAUAACUAACCGGGGCUAUAUAA
rnacentral:rRNA from 1 species